AGGUGUGAUCAUACCAACACUAAUGCAUCGGAUCCCAUUAGAACUCUACAGAUAAGCAUGCUUGGGCAAGAGUAGUACAUGGAUGGGUGACCUCCUGGGAAGUCCUGAUGUUGCACCUC
rnacentral:rRNA from 2 species